GAUGAACGCUGGCGGCGUGCCUAAUACAUGCAAGUCGAGCGAAUGGAUUAAGAGCUUGCUCUUAUGAAGUUAGCGGCGGACGGGUGAGUAACACGUGGGUAACCUGCCCAUAAGACUGGGAUAACUCCGGGAAACCGGGGCUAAUACCGGAUAACAUUUUGAACCGCAUGGUUCGAAAUUGAAAGGCGGCUUCGGCUGUCACUUAUGGAUGGACCCGCGUCGCAUUAGCUAGUUGGUGAGGUAGUGGCUCACCAAGGCAACGAUGCGUAGCCGACCUGGGAGGGCGAUCGGCCACACUGGGACUGAGACACGGCCCAGACUCCUACGGGAGGCAGCAGUAGGGAAUCUUCCGCAAUGGACGAAAGUCUGACGGAGCAACGCCGCGUGAGUGAUGAAGGCUUUCGGGUCGUAAAACUCUGUUGUUAGGGAAGAACAAGUGCUAGUUGAAUAAGCUGGCACCUUGACGGUACCUAACCAGAAAGCCACGGCUAACUACGUGCCAGCAGCCGCCGUAA
rnacentral:rRNA from 1 species